rnacentral:rRNA from 1 species
UACGUAGGGGGCAAGCGUUGUCCGGAUUUAUUGGGCGUAAAGAGCGUGUAGGCGGCCAAGCAGGUCAGCUGUGAAAACUCGAGGCUCAACCUCGAGACGUCGGUUGAAACCGCUUGGCUAGAGUCCGGAAGAGGAGAGUGGAAUUCCCGGUGUAGCGGUGAAAUGCGCAGAUAUCGGGAAGAACACCCGUGGCGAAGGCGGCUCUCUGGGACGGUACUGACGCUCAUGCACGAAAGCGUGGGGAGCAAACAGG